rnacentral:rRNA from 1 species
CGGAGAUGGAGCCUGAUAAACGGCUACCACAUCCAAGGAAGGCAGCAGGCGCGCAAAUUACCCAAUCUCGAUACGAGGAGGUAGUGACGAAAAAUAACAAUACGGGACUCUUUCGAGGCCCCGUAAUUAGAAUGAGUGUACUCUAAACGUGUGCACGAGGAUCUAUUGGAGGGCAAGUCUGGUGCCAGCAGCCGCGGUAAUUCCAGCUCCAAUAGCGUAUAUUAAAGCUGUUGUGGUUAAAAAGCUCGUAGUUGGAUCUCAGGGUCGUUCGCGUCGGUCCCUUGCUGCAAUGGCUCGGGUACUGCGCGGUGUCGUCCCCCUUGCCAGACCUCUCAAAAAGGUUGCUCUUGACUGAGUGGCCUGCUCGAGUGGCUGGAGAGUUUACUUUGAAAAAAUUAGAGUGUUCAAAGCAGGCACAGCCCGCCUGUAUAAUGGUGCAUGGAAUAAUGGAAUAGGACCCCGGAUCCUAUUUUGCUGGUUUUUGGAGCUCAGGGGUAAUGAUUAAGAGGAACAGGGCGGGGGCAUCCGUAUUACGGCGUUAGAGGUGAAAUUCUUGGAUCGUCGUAAGACGCCCUACAGCGAAAGCAUUUGCCAAGUAUGUUUUCAUUAAUCAAGAACGAAAGUCAGAGGUUCGAAGACGAUCAGAUACCGUCGUAGUUCUGACCGUAAACUAUGCCAACUGGCAGCCCGUCGGCGUUGCUCUAUUCGACUCGGCGGGAGGCCUACCCGAAAGGAAAGUCUACGGGUUCCAGGGGAAGUAUGGUUGCAAAGCUGAAACUUAAAGGAAUUGACGG